GGUACCCUACGGGACGCAGCAGUGAGGAAUAUUGGUCAAUGGGCGGGAGCCUGAACCAGCCACGUCGCGUGAGGGAAGACUGCCCUAUGGGUUGUAAACCUCUUUUGUCAGGGAGCAAUUGGCGCUACGUGUAGCGUUAUCGAGAGUACCUGAAGAAAAAGCAUCGGCUAACUCCGUGCCAGCAGCCGCGGUAAUACGGAGGAUGCGAGCGUUAUCCGGAUUUAUUGGGUUUAAAGGGUGCGUAGGCGGAAUGCCAAGUCAGCGGUAAAAUCGCGGGGCUCAACCUCGCUCCGCCGUUGAAACUG
rnacentral:rRNA from 1 species